UACGGAGGAUCCAAGCGUUAUCCGGAUUUAUUGGGCUUAAAGGGUGCGUAGGCGGCCUGUUAAGUCAGGGGUGAAAGACGGUAGCUCAACUGGCGCAGUGCCCUUGAUACUGAUGGGCUUGAAUGGACUAGAGGUAGGCGGAAUGAGACAAGUAGCGGUGAAAUGCAUAGAUAUGUCUCAGAACACCGAUUGCGAAGGCAGCUUACUAUGGUCUUAUUGACGCUGAGGCACGAAAGCGUGGGGAUCAAACAGG
rnacentral:rRNA from 1 species